UACGAGGGGGGCAAGCGUUGUUCGGAAUUAUUGGGCGUAAAGGGUGCGUAGGCGGUGCGGUAAGUCUGUUGUGAAAUCUCCGGGCUCAACUCGGAGUCUGCAUCAGAAACUGCCGUGCUGGAGUGUGGGAGAGGUAAGUGGAAUUCCCGGUGUAGCGGUGAAAUGCGUAGAGAUCGGGAGGAACACCUGCGGCGAAAGCGGCUCACUGGACCAUAACUGACGCUGAUGCACGAAAGCUAGGGGAGCAAACAGG
rnacentral:rRNA from 1 species